UAUAUGCGGGGUUUGAAAAGGGGAAUCCCCUUUCCGGUUUAGAGGGGGUGCUCAGAAACACGAAGUGUUUCGUCGAAGGGGGC
rnacentral:sRNA from 1 species